UGGUCCCAUAGAGAGAUAUAAGUAUCGUCUUCCCCAAAGUCACACCCAAAUCUAGGGUUCAUGUUCUUCUUAGAUCUCAGACACCAGCGAUGUUCUUCUUCGUUCUCUGACAUCAACAAUGGCGCUUCGAGCUGUUGGGGUGUAUAUGCUCUUACUGAAGUGAUUUGAGGGAGAAAGGGAUGAGAACUUUCCUCAAGAAGGUGUGGUCUGUGGUGGAGCUUUGUCGUACGGAAGUUACGAAUUACGAUCUACAAGGUUCCACGAGAGUUCAUCAUCACAACCCUAAUUCUAAACCGCUUGAAGGUCUUCCCUUUACUGUGCUUACAGCUCAAACCUGUAAUCACAACAUGCCGUUGACUGAGCAACAUAAAGAAGAAAGAGAGAACUCAGUGAGUUAUGUAUGAUGAUCAUGAACCAAUUUUUGGCGUAUUGCUUUUCAUGACGACAUCCGUAAUGAAACGUUUGAUGAUUCCCAGGACACAUGGUCUCUAACUUUUCCUACUAUGACUAACUGUUAUUCAUAUAUACUGUAUUUUUUAAAUCUCUUCUGUACAAAGGUUUUGCGCAAUGCAAUCAAUACAGUAGGGACUGAUGAAGAUGCUCUGACCCGUGUGAUUGUCUCACGAGCAGACAAGGACCUGAAGAAGACCACUGAGCCUUAUCACAAGAGGAACAAUGAGAGUCUCGAUCAAGCCAUAGCGAAAAAAGACAUCAAGGGACUACAAGGCUUUUCUUCUAGCCUUGCUAGGAAACGGAGGAAUCUAGAGUUCACCCUCAAAAUCAAAACCUGACAAGAGUAGCAUUUCUUUCUAAUUUCUGCUCAAGUACUAACUAGACCCUGGCGCGGAUUUGAAUUUUCGUUUUUUUGGUUAUUUAUUUAACUAAAUAAUGUAUUUCUAAUAUUUUAUGUAUUAUAUUCACCAAGUAAAUAAUUUUUUUGGCAUAUUAAA